rnacentral:tRNA from 1 species
ACCUGGCUGGCUCAAUCAGUAGAGCAUGUGACUCUUGAUCUCAGAGUCAUGAGUUCAAGCCUCAUGUUAGGUG